CCCUUAGAUGUUCUGGGCCGCACACGCGCUACACUGAAGGAGGCAGCGUGUACUCCUGGAUCGAAAGAUUUGGGUAACCCACGAAUCUCCUUCGUGCUAGGGAUUGAGGUUUGCAAUUAUCCUUCAUGAACGAGGAAUUCCCAGUAAGUGCAAGUCAUAAGCUUGCGCUGACUACGUCCCUGCCCUUUGUACACACCGCCCGUCGCUACUACCGAUUGAAUGAUUUAGUGAGGACUUCGGACUGGGACCGAUGCGGCUUUCGGGCUGCGUCGGUAUUCUGGAAAGAUGUCCAAACUGUAUCAUUUAGAGGAAGUAAAAGUCGUAACA
rnacentral:rRNA from 1 species